rnacentral:rRNA from 1 species
UACGGGGGGGGCAAGCGUUGUUCGGAAUUACUGGGCGUAAAGGGCGCGUAGGCGGCUUUUCAAGUGACGGGUGAAAUCCCCCGGCUUAACCGAGGAACUGCCUGUCAGACUGGAAGGCUUGAGACCGGGAGAGGUGAGUGGAAUUCCCAGUGUAGCGGUGAAAUGCGUAGAUAUUGGGAGGAACACCAGUGGCGAAGGCGGCUCACUGGACCGGAACUGACGCUGAGGCGCGAAAGCGUGGGGAGCAAACAGG